rnacentral:rRNA from 1 species
AUUGAACGCUGGCGGCAUGCUUUACACAUGCAAGUCGAACGGAAACAGCACUUCGGUGGCUGACGAAUGGCGAACGGGUGAGUAAGACAUCCGAACGUGCCUAGUACUUGGGGAUAACUACUCGAAAGAGUAGCUAAUACCGCAUGAGAUCUAAGGAUGAGAGCAGGGGACCUUCGGGCCUUGCGCUACUAGAGCGGCUGCUGGCAGAUUAGGUAGUUGGUGGGAUAAAAGCUUACCAAGGCGACGAUUUGUAGCUGGUCUGAGAGGACGACCAGCCACACUGGGACUGAGACACGGACCAGACUCCUACGGGAGGCAGCAGUGGGGAAUUUUGGACAAUGGGCGCAAGCCUGAUCCAGCAAUGCCGCGUGCAGGAUGAAGGCCUUCGGGUUGUAAACUGCUUUUGUACGGAACGAAAAGCCCUCUUCUAAUACAGGAGGGUCAUGACGGUACCGUAAGAAUAAGCACCGGCUAACUACGUG